rnacentral:lncRNA from 1 species
GAAGGGGAGGCCCUUUCAGCUGGAGCGUCAGCAUGAUGACGUCACUGCGCUCUUUUCUGCCGGGGGGGGGGCCCUUACCCCUCACCCUCCUCCCCUGAUUAUCAGAGAUCAGCGAGGCACGGUGUGGAUACUCAAGGAGCUCCCGAUCAAAUGCUGAGACAACAACCUGCAGACGACUGUGACCCGUAGGACCCUGUGCCGCCCCCUCUGCACCCCCGCAUCUGGGGUCCUGGAAGCUUGGAGAGGAGAGGUGAAUAAUUCAGGCGGCUCACUCCUGUUGCUGUCGGCCCUGGUAAAAUUACACGAAGGCUCCGGCGGUGAAGUCAUCCUCCCCCAGCUUCCUCUCUGGCCAGGACUGGCCCAAUCAGACCACUCACUGUCCUCCCCCGCGGCCCUCGCGUCUUCCGGCCGGGCCCUUUCCAGCAAGCCUAGCUGUCUGCUCCCGCAAAAGAAGGAAGAGCCGGGAACUGGAAGUCCCUGGGGAUGGGGGCCGCUGGCAAGAGGCUAACCUUUCCAGAGCGACAUCGGGUGGGCGGGCUCCCGGCUAUGACCUGUCUGACCUCCCUGUGCCGCGUUCCUCAUCUGUGAAAUGGAGCUAAUGAGCGUUUUAUAGCCUGUCUCACAGUGAUUAGCAAGAUGCGAUAAACCCAAAGUCAUAAAAAUGAAAGUUUUCUUUAUUGUUAUUAGGUGUGAAGUAUCCAUCGAUUACAAUCAUGUGAUUUUUGAAGACUUAAGUAGAAGUUGAAAUCUGUUCAGGCCUCAGAGGAAACCUUAAAAGUGCUUAAAAAAGUGUUAGUUACUGUGAUGGUUCAAUUCGACAAGCAUUUAUUAAACACCUGCUGUGUGCCAGGUCCCGGGGAUACAAAGUCAAGUCAAAAUGGAAGCAUUCUGUGCCCUCAAGGGGCUUCCAUUCUACUGGGAGAGAGGAAAAGGGAGA